rnacentral:rRNA from 1 species
GACGAACGCUGGCGGCGUGCUUAACACAUGCAAGUCGAACGGUGAAGCGCCUUCCUUUUUGGUGGGUGUGGAUGAGUGGCGAACGGGUGAGUAACACGUGAGUAACCUGCCCCCUUCUUCUGGAUAACCGCAUGAAAGUGUGGCUAAUACGGGAUAUUCUGGGUCUGUCGCAUGAUGGGUCUGGGAAAGAUAUUGUUUCGGUGGGGGAUGGGCUCGCGGCCUAUCAGCUUGUUGGUGGGGUGAUGGCCUACCAAGGCGGUGACGGGUAGCCGGCCUGAGAGGGUGGACGGUCACACUGGGACUGAGACACGGCCCAGACUCCUACGGGAGGCAGCAGUGGGGAAUAUUGCACAAUGGGCGCAAGCCUGAUGCAGCGACGCCGCGUGAGGGAUGGAGGCCUUCGGGUUGUAAACCUCUUUCGCCAGUGAAGCAGGCCUGCCUCGUUUGUGGGUGGGUUGACGGUAGCUAGAGAAGAAGCGCCGGCUAACUACGUG